ACGAAAAAGCUCGCCGCCUCUGCCAUAGGAAAGUAGCCUUACUCACUCUCCCCCUCCCUCCAAGAGAGAAGCCACACUGAUCCAAGCACCCACCUUGGUCCUACCCCCCCCCCUCCCCCCGGACCCGUUACCACUUUAUAGUGCACCUCGCUCGCUCAGCGGCAGCGCAAACGUGGGAACAAAAAUGUGGGAAGAUGGAGUCCACGUCGUAUUGUCGCAGUCCAAAAGGCAGACGCGCCAGCACCGCGCCGGCGGAGGACACGGACAGUAAGCCGCAGUCGCCUAAUGCAAAGCCGCAGCCUGGUGUGUCGGCGUCAGCGAGUCGUCCCCGGUCCUCGGGGGCGAAAGGCACCAACUCGCAGUCGCAGCUCGGCGGGAGAAGCAGCAGCCGAGCUCGCGCCGCGUCGUCGAUUCGUUCCUCGUCGCCGGCUCCCAGGGUGAUCACGUCUCCGCAAAAAAGAAGGCGCCAGGUGUCGUCCUCCUUGCCCCCGGUGCGCGUCAGAGGCAAAAAAGGAAGUGGCCGCGCUAAGAUGGAGAUGUCCAAAAUCACUGCGGAUGCUCUCGCUUCCAUCAAUCACAGUCUAUUCAUUAAGACUAACUUGUCAGCAAAGCAGAUGAGCAGCCGCGUCAUGAAGGAGUACCUGCAAGCGCACCGCGCCGGCGCGCACAAGAUUGAGAGCCAGUCGGCGGAAGAGCGCCAAAUCAUCUGGCAGAGCUUCGUGGAUGCAUCAUACCUUCCACACAGUCACGAAAUUCAGCGCCUAGUGAGCUACGUCCAGCUGAUGGAGUCGAGAUGCCAACAGAAGCUCCAGCACGCCCAGACAGUGACCUCCUGCGCCCUGAAUAGCAUUCAGCAGCUGCUGCAGCGUGUCACUGACGUGGGCACACAGGUCCGCAAGGACACCGACGUGCUCGCGGAGAAACCGGACGUGCUUCUUAGUUCAGCAGGCGCUGAGGUAUGGAGUCGGUCAGGGGUCAAAGCCGGAAGCGCUGCCUCGGCAGUCAUGCACGUGCUCGGCAGCCCAGUGCGUGAUGUGUGUGGACUUGAUGCAAUGCUUUCUGAUCCUCAUCCACCGGCGUUUCGCAUCUCGCAGGCGGACCGCGAUGAGCGAGAACGACUGAACCGCAUCUUCAACAGCGUCCUCGAAAGCAUUGGCGCCGACGAGAACGAGAGGAGAGUCAGUGGUUCGUCGUCCAGCACGUCGCCCACAACCCAGGCGGCGAAUGGGUCACCGACACAGUCCAUUAAAGAGUGCCCGCCACUGAUGAUGGGCAGCCGAGAUGAUGAGGGCUCGGCGCCAUCCACCCAGUCCUCCUCACCGGUCUCACCCUCGACGCGUCGGCAGUCCUGCCAAGACGAUCUGGAGUGCGUUGAUGAGAAACGCAACGACACCGCUCUGAGCGAUCGGCAAGCGGAGCGCACGCAGUAUGUUCUCGAGCUGCAGCAGAAGCUCGACGCGGUUGGUGUGGCCUUUGUGCAGCUCAUGAAUCGCGUUCAGGUGCAACACCAGCAGUACCAGCACACGAUCGCCGCUCAGAAGUCUGUACUCGACGCACAAGCCACGCGACUAAAGCUCGCCGACGAUGUCCUUCGCGACACUGCGGCACAGGGGGCCAUUGAAGCGCUGAGCGCUGUGGCUCUCGCUCAGCAGCUCUCGUUGGAGCUGCGUGAGAGGAUGGAAAUAAGUGAGAGGAACAUGAACGCAGCUCUCAAGGCACUCAUCGGGCAGAGCGCGGAGGUAUGCUUCGACAACGGUAUCCUGCAAGAGUACAGCUCGCUCGCCACCAAGAAAGAGAACUGUCUCAGCGCGUUCAUGUCGCAGAUGGAGCGGCAGGUAGUGGAGCAGGCUGAUGUGCUGUGGAAAGCGCGACAAGGUGUCGCGAAAAUUUGGCAGCUGCGACUGCAGUGGCAACUCCCGCACUCGCGCGUGGCGGCAAGCGAGUCUGGUGCAAGUGUGAGGGAGCCUGAGGGAGCUGCUGGCAAUCUCGCACCCCUUCCGCCUCCGUACAAGGCCCGAUUGGAAGAGUGUGAUCGAGCAAUCCUUCUAACGUUCCUCGAACGUCUCACUAUGCAUUGCCCCGACGCUACUGCGCAUUUGAUUGCGGCCCUUGAUGAGCACGACGCCUUCUGCGUCACGCACCCGAAAGAGACGGCCGCCUCGCGAGAGGACCUGGCGCGCACGACUGCCGUGCUGCAGCUCAUUCGAAAACUGGACGAGGAAGGGCGGCUGCACUGCAGUGCGCAGCACACGGGCGAAGCGCUUUCUGUGCGUCUUCGUCGACUUGUCGAGCAGCAUGAUGCCUUCAUCGACUUUAACGAGGCCUAUGCGCGGGCGCUGGUGCGGCAAGCGGAUGCGGAGCGGCGGCAGUACACACCGGACGCUGUCGCCUUCUUCGACUCCCGCACGCCUGUGCCGGGGCUAGAAAGCGGCACCGCGAGUAGGCGACUCGCACCUGUGAAGGCGCAAGCAAUGUUUGAAGGUCACAGCAAUACCGCUGCGUCAUGUUCGGAAGCAGCGGCGACCUCCGAUGCGGAGUCCACGAAGAAUUCGCCGUCCCGGCCAGCCAUGCCGUACCUGAGCCUGUGGACACGAAAGCAGCGGGAGCUACGAGCGCGGCAGUGCGAGACGGGAGCCAUGAAUGCUGGCGUGGGCAGCAACACCGUCGGCGCCAUCGUGGGCUACCUUGAACGUCGCACGCCACAUCUAGCUGCGGCGACAGAGGCCGCGGCGUCCUCGGCUGCCUUGUUCGAAUCCGCGCCGUCGUCGACGCCGCCGCGGCUGCACACGGAGCUGAGCGCGUCCGCCCCCACGUGUGUUUCCGCGGGUCUGCCCCUUCCACCGGUUCCGCCGCGCAAAGGGUUGGCAUCGUAUGUACUAUCCACGUAUGGUUCGACACCGGAGAGCACCGAAGGUGAUGCUGGCACUAAACGGCAGCAGCAUACACAGCAGGCGGAGCGCACAGCCAAGGCAGAGAAGCACAAGGCUGUCAUGCCCUUCCGCGACGGUGAUCACCAGUUCAUUCAUCGGGGACGUGAGAUCUUUAUGCAGCUGGACUGAGUGCAGGAUUCACAGAGAAGCGGUGGCGGUCGCGCGUGCGUGUCGAGUGAUCGAAGGCAACCACGCACGAGGGGGCUACGCCAAGCGCUCACCGAUGGGUGUCUCUUUUCGUCUUUGUGGUUUUCUUUUUUUUUCUCAUGCCUCCGCCUCACUGUAAUGUCUCCCUCCCUCCUCCCUCAUGACGGAGUAAAUGGUGGUGGUGGUGGUGAGGGGGGCAUACGUCAGUGCGUGGUAUCACAGGGCCCAGCGUGCCCCCAAUCUCUGUGCGUGGGGAAGCCAAGCCUCCGCUAACCCCUGCUAAAUGCCCAGCCACCUCUGGUGGUGACAGGGUCAAGCGCCUACGACGUAGGGAUGGCCAGGGCGAUGUAUGGCUACCGAUGUCGGCGGCCAUGUCCUGGAUCGGCGUUGCGUCGGAGCGACCUGCGGCCGUGCACACGCUUGUGCCAUCCAUGUGAUGGGCAUCGUGUCCGUGCGAUUCGAACGUAUCUCACCCCCCCCGGCCCUCGCACUGCCUGCUGGUGCGGGGAGCCUGAGUGUCACCCCGCGGGAGAUGCACCAGGGGUGGCGGCCGGCAUGAUGGGAGCCGCUGUGAGGCGACCUGCGAUGCGGGGGCGGUGCUCUACGGUGACCGAGUCGGCGCAUUGCUGCGGCGCGUGUGUCCAGGGCUGUUUUGCACCACCAGGCGUGGCCUGUGACCGGCCAGGGGGCGGGGCCGGGUGGAGUGGCGUUGAGCGCAUGCUACAUGUGAGCGAAUGGGCACGUUGAGUGCACGAAUGCUCACGCGCACGCAUAUGUACCGAUGUAUAUGCUUCAUUCUGUGUAUUAGUGGCUCCCCCUCUGCUCUGCUCCUCCUCGUCGCUUUGGGUUCGAGAAUUUGUUUGGUAUGUGUGGGGCGGGGGGAGGGGUUUCUGUAUGUAAUCUAGUUCGAGCAUUUGUGAGCGACGGGGACUUCAGCCACGAGCCUGUGCCAGCACUCGGGCAGCAAUGCUACUGGGUUGUCCUUGUUUGUUAGUCAUCGCGCCAUCGUUGGCGUGUAGCAGCGGAGAAGGGGAGCCAUGUCGAUUCCCAUACGCAUGCGCGCAUGUCCGUUUCUCUCUCUCUCUCCUCCUCUUGCUGCUACAGGAGCGCAUGUGCAUUAGGGAACGCGGCAGGACGCUCACACGCACACACACACACACACAACAGCGCACCUUCGCAUCGAAUAGACGGUUCUCUGCACAUGGCAGGCUUCUCGUGUUGGUCUUGCCGCGUACGCGUGUUGUUGUUCUGUGCUCUUUCAUUUUGUCUCCUCACCCCCACCUUUGGCAUAUAUAUAUAUAUAUAUAUAUAAUGUACACGUGGAUAUGUACAUCGGCAUGUAUCAUCGCAUCGCCGCCAUAUCUGCUCUCGUAGAGUUUGGCAGCACUGUUGCACCUGAGCUACGGCAUUGGUGACAACAAGGGGCUACGCGAAUGUGCGGCAACGGGAGGGGUGUUUGGCUCUCCGACACUUUGCCGGCCACUGUGCGCUGGCACCUCCGCACUUCCCCUUUUUUUCUUGUGCAGAGGAACGGAGUCGCUCGCGAUGGCUGAUGAAAAUGGGCGCGCAAAGGGUCAAUCUUCCGGUGCCCGCGCACUCGCCCUCUCUCACAUUCAUUGGCGCGUCUACUUCCUGCUCGCGUCCG
rnacentral:misc_RNA from 1 species